AUUGAACGCUGGCGGCAUGCCUUACACAUGCAAGUCGAACGGUAACAGGUCUUCGGAUGCUGACGAGUGGCGAACGGGUGAGUAAUACAUCGGAACGUGCCUAGUAGUGGGGGAUAACUACUCGAAAGAGUGGCUAAUACCGCAUGAGAUCUACGGAUGAAAGCAGGGGAUCGCAAGACCUUGUGCUACUAGAGCGGCCGAUGGCAGAUUAGGUAGUUGGUGGGAUAAAAGCCUACCAAGCCGACGAUCUGUAGCUGGUCUGAGAGGACGAUCAGCCACACUGGGACUGAGACACGGCCCAGACUCCUACGGGAGGCAGCAGUGGGGAAUUUUGGACAAUGGGCGAAAGCCUGAUCCAGCAAUGCCGCGUGCAGGAUGAAGGCCUUCGGGUUGUAAACUGCUUUUGUACGGAACGAAAAGCCCCGGGUUAAUACCCUGGGGUCAUGACGGUACCGUAAGAAUAAGCACCGGCUAACUACGUGCCAGCCGCCGCGGUAACAC
rnacentral:rRNA from 1 species